CAGCCGCCGCGGUAAUACAGAGGGUGCGAGCGUUAAUCGGAUUUACUGGGCGUAAAGCGUGCGUAGGCGGCUUCUUAAGUCGGAUGUGAAAUCCCUGAGCUUAACUUAGGAAUUGCAUUCGAUACUGGGAAGCUAGAGUAUGGGAGAGGAUGGUAGAAUUCCAGGUGUAGCAGUGAAAUGCGUAGAUAUGUGGAGGAAUACCGAUGGCGAAGGCAGCCCCCUGGGAUAACACUGACGCUCAUGCACGAAAGCGUGGGGAGCAAACAGGAUUAGAUACCCGCGUAGUCCCUGUCUCUUAUAC
rnacentral:rRNA from 1 species